rnacentral:rRNA from 1 species
GCUUGGGAAUCUACCUAGUAGUGGGGACAACAGUUGGAAACGACUGCUAAUACCGCAUACGCCCUACGGGGGAAAGGGGGAGGUACUUCCGUACCGUCCUUGUCUAUUGGUAGUGAGCCCAACGUACGGAGUUAGUCUAGUUGGUUGGGGUAAGGUAGGCCCGACCCAAACGGACGGACGAUCCGUAGCUGGUUUGUAGAGGAGUGAUCAGCCACACUGGGACGUGAGACACGGCCCACGACUCCUACGGGAGGGCAGCAGUGGGGAAGUAAUUGCACAAUAGGGCGGAAAGACCUGAUG